UUAAGCAUCCGCCAGCGCAGAUCGCAUUUGUGGUGACGAUCAAGCACCCGCCUGUGCAGAUCGCAUUUGUGCUGACAGAAGAUUGCUGGCGGGUGUGAAACCCACCAGCACAGAUAUGUUUUAGCCGCAAGGACACAUAUUUUCUGCCGUAGUGAUAUAUUUCACAUAGAAUCUCAUGAUCUGUAGAUAAUUAUAUGUUCCCCUAAUUAAUGAAUG
rnacentral:lncRNA from 1 species